rnacentral:rRNA from 1 species
AGAGUUUGAUCAUGGCUCAGGAUGAACGCUGGCGGUCUGCUUAACACAUGCAAGUCGAACGGAAGUAGCAAUACUUUAGUGGCGGACGGGUGAGUAACGCGUGAGAAUCUACCUUCAGGACGGAGACAACAGUUGGAAACGACUGCUAACCCCCGAUGUACCGCAAGGGCAAAUAUUUAUAGCCUGAAGAAGAGCUCGCGUCCGAUUAGCUAGUUGGGGGGGUAAAAGCCCACCAAGGCGACGAUCGGUAGCUGGUCUGAGAGGACGAUCAGCCACACUGGGACUGAGACACGGCCCAGACUCCUACGGGAGGCAGCAGUGGGGAAUUUUCCGCAAUGGGCGCAAGCCUGACGGAGCAAGACCGCGUGGGGGAGGAAGGCUCUUGGGUUGUAAACCCCUUUUCUCUGGGAAGAACAAAAUGACGGUACCAGAGGAAUCAGCUCGAACCGCCGC